rnacentral:rRNA from 1 species
GAUGAACGCUGGCGGCGUGCCUAAUACAUGCAAGUCGAGCGAACAGACGAGAGUGCUUGCACUCUCUGACGUUAGCGGCGGACGGGUGAGUAACACGUGGGUAACCUACCUAUAAGACUGGGAUAACUUCGGGAAACCGGAGCUAAUACCGGAUAAUAUUUAGCUUCGCAUGAAGCAAUAGUGAAAGACGGUUCUGCUGUCACUUAUAGAUGGACCCGCGGUGUAUUAGCUAGUUGGUGAGGUAACGGCUCACCAAGGCAACGAUACAUAGCCGACCUGAGAGGGUGAUCGGCCACACUGGGACUGAGACACGGCCCAGACUCCUACGGGAGGCAGCAGUAGGGAAUCUUCCGCAAUGGACGGAAGUCUGACGGAGCAAUGCCGCGUGAGUGAAGAAGGUUUUCGGAUCGUAAAACUCUGUUGUAAGGGAAGAACAAGUACGUUAGUAACUGAACGUACCUUGACGGUACCUGACCAGAAAGCCACGGCUAACUACGUG